AAAAUAUCUGCUAUUGCCAUCUGUAAUGAAAUUGAUUUGAAAAAUAUUGUUUAAAGCUGCAGUUAUUUUGGGUUUAAAUAGAUGUAUAAAAACGGCGAAUAUGUGUCCCCCAUUGACAAAACAUCAGGCAAUUUCAAACACCCUUUAAUCUAACUUUUCAGAUGAUUAUUUUCAAACAAACACGUUUUCAAGCUUAAGAAUAUUUUGCAUUUGAAGUUAUCUUCAUAUAGAAAAAUAUCAGUAUACUUCAAAUACAUAUAGAUCUGAACAUAAACUGUGGAAAACAUGGAAAG
rnacentral:lncRNA from 1 species